rnacentral:lncRNA from 1 species
UAUUGCAUAGUUUUAGCCAUUGGAUUUCAGUCAAAAGACACCAAAUGACUCCUCCCUCCGUAUUAUUAUGUUCCCCAAGUUUUGGACUCAAUCCGAUAUCUAGUGGUCCAUUAUAUUGGACAAUUCAGGCUCGUACGAAGUUCGUUAUGAAAUGGAGUGGUUGGGGUAUUGCAUAGUUGUAGAGAUUGGAUUUCACUCAAAACCCACCAAAUGACUCCUCC